rnacentral:tRNA from 1 species
AUUUGGGUAGUUUAAUGUAGAAUAAUAAUUUGUGGAGUUAUAGGUAUCAUUUAGGUCUCAAGUC